rnacentral:lncRNA from 10 species
UUCAUACAUUUGGAAAGGAGAGCUUUAUUUCUCGUAAAGGGCUGCAGCCUGCAGCAUGGCCAUUCUGACAGACUGGGAAACACAGCCUCUGGUCAGAUGCUAGAAACAGACACUUCAGGCCUUGGUAAAAUAACCAACGUCUCCAACUGUGUCCUGUUUCAAAAGAAAACAGAUUCUUACAAACUUAUGCAAAUAACCAUGUUGCCAUAAAAUAAGAAUACUCAUGAAAAGUUUCCAAAUUUUGGAGAACUGAGGUAGACAGAAAGGUAAAUUCUGCUGACAAAAGUAUACUUUUUACAAUUAGAGUAGCAGCCUUCCAAUCAGGAUGUUGUCUGUUCACCUUGAAACUGCCAUCCUCAAAUCAAGCAGCUCAUUGUCAGUCAGGUGAGAGCUGUUUAUCAGGCACUGCAGAAUCCAGCAACUCCUUGCACAGGUCCAGAGUCAACUCUAUGGGAAUAAGGGCUCCCUGUAUAUGAGUAUCUCCUCCUUGCAUUCAUCAGGUAGCAUGAUAAGUCAUUCCAAUUGGAUUACGGAACUCUGGGCACUUCUGGGCACUGCUAUCCCCAUUAGGGUGCUUCUCUGGCAUCAUCCCAGACAGCAUGGGUAUUUCAGGUGUCAAGAUCAUUUUAUAUUCUUUACAUAUGGGUGGCUUCAGUUAACAUCUCAUAACUGGUCAUUAAAUGGCCCUGAAGUGGAAAUUCUUUAGUCCGAAGUUUCAGCAGUCAUAGUUGACAGGUGCUCACAAGCUUUGGCCACAAGCCACAGUAAAUGCUCCACAAAGGGCUCUCAACUGGAGAACUGGGUCCUUUGCGAUGUUGAAUGUAGCCCAGGCACUACCAGCACUCCAGUUUCUACUCUACGUUCUAGGCUCGGGCAAUGUUAUGGGUUCUCAUUUAGAAAGUCCAAUUAAUAUUGCUUGAUGGGUGGAUUUACAUGCCUUCUGUUUUAUAGUAGUAGGUAGGAGAAACAUCCCCCAGCUGGAUACAAUAUUCAUUUUCAUAAAACUUUUAGGUUAAAAGGAGUCACAACCACUUUACACAAAGCCUAUUUAAACAUUCCAGCUUUCAAAAUCGUAUCAACCUUACAUUUUUAUGUUCUGGUCUCAGGAGCUUCUUUGUUUCCCACCCCUCAGACCAUUUUACUUUCUCUGGUGAAAAAGGAUUUGGCUUCUCAGCCAAAGGAUCAGGAACCCUUCUGUCAAUCCUCAACACUGCCCCAGGCAAUUUUCGUUGCACUCUUCGCUUUCUGACUUUUCUUCAGAAAUAUCUCCAGCCUUCUGAUUUGAAUAGUCACUUAGCUUUGCCGUUCUCCCCACAUUGACUAUCUUCUUGGUAACCACAAGUCUCAGAGUUACUUUCAUAAUUGUAUUAUGCAAAUGAGCUUUCCACUUGUCCGGGCACCAUCUUGUCUGCUGCUUACUGCACGUGUGCCUGCAGCAAAAGGAGUACAACCCACAUUUCUGCUGGGCCAUAUUCUCUAGGGUCUCAGCUUCACAGCUGACCAUCUACAUACAAAGACCCAAAAGCCCUGCAGGCCUCCACAGAGGGAAGACAGAAAAUGAAAAGCUGUCCUCAAAAGGGAAAAGGAUCAAUAAAUGGCAAAAAGUCACACAAAUAUCAAACCAAAAGGAUUUCCUGACUGGGAAUCAAAUGCAGGCCAUGGCAGUGAAAUCACAGAAAUUUAACUAUUAGACCACAAGGCAGAGUGGCUUUUAUUGUUAUUCCCUCAGGGCAGCUUAAGUAAUCAGUUUGAGCUUACAAAGGAUUUUAACUUUGCUUUAGGUCAGAUUUUUGAUCUUUAAUUUACUCAAGAGAAUUUUUAAGGUUAACCAUGAGACUAUUACGUGUCCUUUAAAAAAAAAUGGCUGGGUGCGGUGGCUCGC